UACGGGGGGGCAAGCGUUGUUCGGAAUUACUGGGCGUAAAAGGGCGCGUAGGCGGCCUGCUAAGUCGGAUGAUGAAACUCCCUCGGGCUCAACCGAGGAACUGCAUCCGAUACUGGCGGGCUUGAAUCCGGGAGAGGGAUGUGGAAUUCCAGGUGUAGCGGUGAAAUGCGUAGAUAUCUGGAGGAACACCGGUGGCGAAGGCGGCAUCCUGGACCGGUAUUGACGCUGAGGCGGCGAAAAGCGUGGGGAGCAAACGGG
rnacentral:rRNA from 1 species